AAGAGGCGUGAGGAUGCUAAUCCACCUAUUCUGCAAUUGAUUGAUGAUUAUAACAACAUGCACUACCAUCUGAUCUCUG
rnacentral:snoRNA from 1 species